GAUAGCUCAGCAGUGGAGCAUGAUACUCUUAAUCUCAAGGUCGUGGGUUCGAGUCCCAUGGGUGGUUGGCG